UAGUGUUAACAGCAGUUACUCUUUCUCUAAUUGUGAAUCUUCUUUCAUUGGUAUACAUUAAUUGUUCUUAAAAUCAUUAUAAUAUAUUUCAGCGAAUCCAAGCCCGGGUAAAGGAGGGUUUUUCUCAAAUAGGUUUUUUUUUUUUUUUUUUUGAAAAAGGCCUCAAGUUUUUAAAUCGCUUUAGGCCACCAAAAUGAUUGAGCCGGCCCUAUGUUACUGUUAGGGUCAAGGAAACUUGGGAUGGCAUGUUUUCAUGUUGUUUUUGAAGUUGAUCUUUUUUUAUGCUAUAUAAUUCUAGGUCAAUGUUUGGUCUAGUUGAGUAAUUUCUGGUAAAACAUCUGGGUAUAAGUUUUUGUGUUUUGAGUUUUAUUUUGCCAUCUAUCUCUCUUCAUAUAUACAGGUGAAAUCUUUGUUUGUUUUACCAUUCAUGUAUCCCUUAUGGAUUUCAUAAACAACAUACCACUGUUUCCGUAUUCGUAUUAUACACAAGCCUCUGCUUUUUGACAACUUAACUUCACUUUGGCUUGAGGUUAAAAGCUUAGUUUUGAGUGAUGGAGCUCGGGCUUUGGCUAAGCAUGUCAACAGAAGCAAAGGAAAAUUUUGGUGCUCCUCUGGAAAUGCUUGGAUUCAAAAGGCCUUAACUUUUCGUGGAAGACGAAGACAACAAGAUUAUAACUUCCCUUGCACAUGACACGCUUUGGGAACUUGGUUCAGUAAUCAGGGAGGGAUCCAACUGAUAGAUGGUCAAAAGAAAGGAAGCUGAGCUUGCCAAUGAGAAGGUACAAGCUAGACAGAGCACACAAUUUUGAUGUCAACAUGUUUGAUGAAAUCGACAGAUUCAUGAAAGUCCCAGACGAGUGGGGUCCACCUUAUACACCAGGGCUAGCUGAAGGAAUUGCCGGAAUUCAACACAACCCCUUCUACAUGCAUCGCGCUUUG